rnacentral:ncRNA from 1 species
GCUAAAUACGGUCACGAGACCGAUAGCGAACAAGUACCGUGAGGGAAAUUGAAAAGCACUUUGGAGAGAGAGUUAAAAAGUACGUGAAACCGUCGAGAGGCAAACGGGAGGGCCUGUCGGGUCGUUCGGUCGCUUUCAGGCGGGCCGGAGACCGGGUCGCGGGAUCGGGGACCUUCGCGGGCCUCGACUCGCGUCGCCGGCCGACGGCUCGGCGCACUAGCGUCGGACGAGGGCCGCGACCGGCUGGGCGGCGGGCAAACGGCUCCGGGCAAGGUAACCCCGCUUCGGCGGGGUGCUACAGGCCCGGUGCGCGCAAGGGUCGCCGCCCGGUCGAGGAGAGAUGCGCGCCGCACCUGCCCCGUUCGCGGGGCCGGGGAAGCCGUUCGAGCAGCGUCGUGUCGCGGUCCGGGACUGUCCUCAGUCCCGGGUCGUCUCGGCGCGGUUCCGAGCGGUCGCUCCCUCGCGAGGUGCCGCGGGUCAGCGGCUGACGCCAGCCACCUUCCCGACCCGUCUUGAAACACGGACCAAGGAGUCUAACAUGUGCGCGAGCCGCGGGGCAGUACGAAACCCGUAAGGCGAAAUGAAGGUGAACGCCGGCGCGGUCCGGCGGAGGUUGGAUCCCGUCCCGUCGGGGCGGGCGCACUACCGGCCGAUCUUCUCCGCCCUGUCGGCGAGGUCGAGCGAGAGCGUGCAAGUCGGGACCCGAAAGAUGGUGAACUAUGCCUGAGGAGGUUGAAGCCAGAGGAAACUCUGGUGGAGGACCGUAGCGAUUCUGACGUGCAAAUCGAUCGUCAAAUUUGGGUAUAGGGGCGAAAGACUAAUCGAACCGUCUAGUAGCUGGUUCCCUUCGAAGUUUCCCUUUGAUUACGUCCCUGCCCUUUGUACACACCGCCCGUCGCUACUACCGAUUGAAUGGUUUAGUGAGGUCCUCCGAUUGGACCCGGUCCGGGCGGCGACGUCCGAGCCGGCGUCCGAGAAGACGAUCUAACUUGAUCAUUUAGAGGAAGUAAAAGUCGUAACAAGGUUUCCGUAGGUGAACCUGCGGAAGGAUCAUUAACGUUGGACGCGAUUUCGGUCGUGGUCUUGUGAGGCUCUUCUCGAGGCGACGGUCUUCCGACGAGAGUCGGGGGCCGGCCGCGCGUUUUGGAACCCGUAAAGUCGGUCGCCGAGUGCCGCGUGUCGGCUUGAAGGGGCCCUGGUGCUCGCUCGGCGACUUGUCCUUGUUGGCACGGCGACCCGGAUCGAGGUCGGCGACGAUCGAAUCGAAAAAAGUUGAAGGCUCUUGGCGGUGGAUCACUCGGCUCGUGAGUCGAUGAAGGACGCAGCUAGCUGCGUGAUUUAGUGUGAAUUGCAGGACACAUUGAGCAUCGACGAUCUGAACGCGAAUUGCGGCCUCGGGUUAAUCCCGGGACCGCGCCCGCCUCAGGGUCGUGACGAACGAAAAGGAAUCGACGCUUUGAGCGUCGCUGCAGCGGGUCGGUCGCUCUUUUCGAGGGGCGGCCGUCCGGCGAUGGUGAGCU